rnacentral:rRNA from 1 species
GCUCAGAACGAACGCUGGCGGCAGGCUUAACACAUGCAAGUCGAACGCCCCGCAAGGGGAGUGGCAGACGGGUGAGUAACGCGUGGGAACAUACCCUUUCCUGCGGAAUAGCUCCGGGAAACUGGAAUUAAUACCGCAUACGCCCUACGGGGGAAAGAUUUAUCGGGGAAGGAUUGGCCCGCGUUGGAUUAGCUAGUUGGUGGGGUAAAGGCCUACCAAGGCGACGAUCCAUAGCUGGUCUGAGAGGAUGAUCAGCCACAUUGGGACUGAGACACGGCCCAAACUCCUACGGGAGGCAGCAGUGGGGAAUAUUGGACAAUGGGCGCAAGCCUGAUCCAGCCAUGCCGCGUGAGUGAUGAAGGCCUUAGGGUUGUAAAGCUCUUUCACCGGAGAAGAUAAUGACG